CCUACGGGUGACAGCAGUGAGGAAUAUUGGUCAAUGGUCGGGAGACUGAACCAGCCAAGCCGCGUGAGGGAUGAAGGUACAGAGUAUCGUAAACCUCUUUUGUCAGGGAACAAAGGCGGGGACGUGUCCCCGGCUGAGUGUACCUGAAGAAAAAGCAUCGGCUAACUCCGUGCCAGCAGCCGCGGUAAUACGGAGGAUGCGAGCGUUAUCCGGAUUUAUUGGGUUAAAAGGGUGCGCAGGCGGUCUGUUAAGUCAGCGGUCAAAGCCCGGGGCUCAACCCCGGCCCGCCGUUGAAACUGGCAGUCUCGAGUUGGAGAGAAGUAGGCGGAAUGCGCGGUGUAGCGGUGAAAUGCAUAGAUAUCGCGCAGAACUCCGAUUGCGAAGGCAGCAUGCCGGCUCCACACUGACGCUGAGGCACGAAAGCGUGGGUAUCGAACAGGAUUAGAUACCCCAGUAGUC
rnacentral:rRNA from 1 species